GACGAACGCUGGCGGCGUGCUUAACACAUGCAAGUCGAACGGAAAGGCCCUGCUUGCAGGGUACUCGAGUGGCGAACGGGUGAGUAACACGUGGGUGAUCUGCCCUGCACUUCGGGAUAAGCCUGGGAAACUGGGUCUAAUACCGGAUAUGACCUUCCAUGUAGUGUGGGGGGUGGAAAGAUUUAUCGGUGUGGGAUGAGCCCGCGGCCUAUCAGCUUGUUGGUGGGGUACUGGCCUACCAAGGCGUCGACGGGUAGCCGGCCUGAGAGGGUGGACGGCCACAUUGGGACUGAGAUACGGCCCAGACUCCUACGGGAGGCAGAAGUGGGGAAUAUUGCACAAUGGGCGGAAGCCUUAUGCAGCGACGCCGCGUGGGGGAUGACGGCCUUCGGGUUGUAAACCUCUUUCGACAGGGACGAAGCUUCGGUGACGGUACCUGUAGAAGAAGCACCGGCUAACUACGUG
rnacentral:rRNA from 1 species